rnacentral:rRNA from 11 species
AGCUUGGUCCGAAAUACCCUAAAGGAAUCAGAUCCUGUCUGAUCUUGGAAGCUAAACAGUGGCAGAUCUGUUUAGUACAUUAACGGGAGACUGCCAAUGAAUACGAAGUACUUUAAGCUA